rnacentral:misc_RNA from 1 species
UACGUAGGUGGCAAGUGUUGUCCGGAAUUAUUGGGCGUAAAGCGCGCGCAGGCGGUCCUUUAAGUCUGAUGUGAAAGCCCACGGCUCAACCGUGGAGGGUCAUUGGAAACUGGAGGACUUGCGUGCAGAAGAGGAAAGUGGAAUUCCAUGUGCAGCGGUGAAAUGCGUAGAGAUGUGGAGGAACACCAGUGGCGAAGGCGACUUUCUGGUCUGUAACUGACGCUGCGGCGCGAAGGCGUGGGGAGCAAGCAGG